UUUCCGUAGGUGAACCUGCGGAAGGAUCAUUCAUAAUAAGUGUUUUAUGGCACUUUUUUAAAUCCAUAUCCACCUUGUGUGCAAUGUCAGGGUUGGUCUCUUUUUGAUCAGCCCCAAACAUCAACUAUUAUCUCAACUCUUUGUCUAAAAAAUAUUAUGAAUAAAACAAUUCAAAAUACAACUUUCAACAACGGAUCUCUUGGCUCAC
rnacentral:misc_RNA from 1 species